GUCACUAUCGGUGCCCUCACAAAGGCACUGACUUGGAUGCUGCAUGUGGUAAGUGCUAUUUGUUGGGGUAGUUUCAAGUGAC
ensembl:miRNA mir430a-1 microRNA 430a-1